AAGUAUGUUAGACUUAGAUGUGAUUUUCACAUGCCUUAUGAUGCUCUCGUUGUGUUUCAAUCCUUACCUUUUAUGUGAGCAUCAUUGAAAUCAAUGCCUAGCUAAGGGCGUUAAACAAUAGCGCUUGUUAGGAGGCAACCCAACGAAUCUAUCAUUUUUCUUUCUGUUUUGUGUUUUCGACACUUUCAUAAUUCUGUUAUGAUUGUGUUUUGUGAGUUUCUUUUUGCGUUUGUGCCAAGCAAAACCAUUAUGA
rnacentral:lncRNA from 1 species